rnacentral:rRNA from 1 species
AGAGUUUGAUCCUGGCUCAGAACGAACGCUGGCGGCAUGCCUAACACAUGCAAGUCGAACGAAGCCUUCGGGCUUAGUGGCGCACGGGUGCGUAACGCGUGGGAAUCUGCCCUUGGGUACGGAAUAACAGUGAGAAAUUGCUGCUAAUACCGUAUGAUGUCUUCGGACCAAAGAUUUAUCGCCCAGGGAUGAGCCCGCGUAGGAUUAGCUGGUUGGUGAGGUAAAGGCUCACCAAGGCUACGAUCCUUAGCUGGUCUGAGAGGAUGAUCAGCCACACUGGGACUGAGACACGGCCCAGACUCCUACGGGAGGCAGCAGUGGGGAAUAUUGGACAAUGGGCGAAAGCCUGAUCCAGCAAUGCCGCGUGAGUGAAGAAGGCCUUCGGGUUGUAAAGCUCUUUUACCCGGGAAGAUAAUGACCGUACCGGGAGAAUAAGCCCCGGCUAACUCCGUGCCAGCAGCCGCGGUAAUACGGAGGGGGCUAGCGUUGUUCGGAAUCACUGGGCGUAAAGCGUGCGUAGGCGGCCAUUCAAGUCAGAGGUGAAAGCCCAGGG